GCAUAUCAAUAAGCGGAGGAAAAGAAACCAACAGGGAUUGCCUCAGUAACGGCGAGUGAAGCGGCAACAGCCCAGAUUUGAAAUCUGGCCUUCGGGCCCGAGUUGUAAUCUGCAGAUGAGUCUUCCGGUAAAGCGCCGUCCAAGUGCCCUGGAACGGGCCGCCGGAGAGGGUGAGAGCCCCGUACCGACGCGCGCCUAGCCUCUGUGAAGCUCAUUCGAAGAGUCGAGUAGUUUGGAAAUGCUGCUCUAAUUGUGGGGUAAAUCUCCCAUAAGGCUAAAUACCGGCCAGAGACCGAUAGCGCACAAGUAGCGUGAGCGAAAGAUGAAAAGAGCCUUGAACAAGGGCGUCAAAAAGCAUGUGAAAUUGUUGUGGGGGAAGCGUUCGAUGCCAGACAUGGCGGCGGUUGGUUACCCGGCGUUCUUCGCCGGCGCACUCUGCCGUCGCCAGGCCAGCAUCAGUUCGGCUCGAGGCCCACCGCCGGCGGGAAUGUGGCUCUCUUCGGGGAGUGUUAUAGCCCGUCGGUACCGUCUCGGACCGGACUGAGGACCGCGCUUCGGCUCGGAUGCUGGCGUAAUGGCCUCUAGCGACCCGUCUUGAAACACGGACCAAGGAGUUGACCUAGCCUGCGAGUGUUUGGGUGUCAAGCCCUUACGCGCAGUGAAAGCGAAUGCAGGUGGGAGCUUCGGCGCACCAUCGACCGAUCCUGAAGUUUACGGAUGGAUUUGAGUAAGAGCAUGCUGGGUCUGACCCGAAAGAAGGUGAACUAUGCAUGAAUAGGGUGAAGCCAGAGGAAACUCUGGUGGAGGCUCGCAGCGGUUCUGACGUGCAAAUCGAUCGUCAAAUUUGUGCAUGGGGGCGAAAGACCAAUCGAACCUUCUAGUAGCUGGUUCCUGCC
rnacentral:rRNA from 1 species